rnacentral:rRNA from 1 species
UACGUAGGGUGCGAGCGUUAAUCGGAAUUACUGGGCGUAAAGCGUGCGCAGGCGGUUUUGUAAGCCAGAUGUGAAAGCCCCGGGCUUAACCUGGGAAUGGCAUUUGGGACUGCAAGGCUGGAGUGUGGCAGAGGAGACUGGAAUUCCUGGUGUAGCAGUGAAAUGCGUAGAUAUCGUAAGGAAGACCAGUGGCGAAGGCGGGUCUCUGGACAGUUCCUGACGCUGAGGCACGAAGGCCAGGGGAGCAAACGGG